CAAUUUGAAAACUUCAGUUAUAGUUGGAGCGUAUAGCUAAACGGUACGUUUUUAAAAAAGCGACGCUUGUCAAUUUUUUUCGUUAACCCUGUAACGUUUCUUCUUCUUCGUGUGUAUAUGUGUAUGUGUGUGUUACCACUUAAAAGAGUUUUUCUUGAUUAUAAUACGGACGGUUUUAAAUUUUACAAUAUUUUUUUUCUUGUUUGUUAUUAAAUUAAUGUAACGAGCGUAAGCUUAACGAAAACGUUAACGUUGUAGUUUUUUAAAAGCGUUUAAAACAAAAAAAAAAUUAUUAAAAAAAAUUUGCAAAAAUUUAUAAGAAAUCCCCAAAAAAAAAAAGUGUUGUUUUCUGUGUGUCGUGUCUUUUAAAGCUUAAAGUUAAACAAAAAUUCGUGAUUUCCUCGUUAUUUUUUUCCCUACUUUUUGCUUCCCUUUACCACGACCACUUUUCCAUUACUCGUUUGCCUCUGUCCUGUGUCAAGCAAUUCGUUGUUAACAGAAAAAAAUCGUGUUUUUUGUUGUUUUUUUCUUACGUUUCUUUUGCUUGAUUCGUUUCUGUGUUUAACAAUUUUUUUUUGUGUUGGUUCCUGCAUCUGAAAUUUUGUAAUUAUUAUAACCAAACAUCAUCAGUUCGUGUAACAAAAUAAAAAAAAAAUUGUGUUUAUAACAAAAUAUUAUAAAAAGUUAUUUAACCAAAAUUAUCAAACAUAUUGUGUUGUUACUCUUGUUCUCCCCUCCACAAACACUCAACGAACGUUGUUGGCAACCCUUAAAUCUCAACAUCAGCAAAAUUUAUUUGUCAUAAAUUUUAUUAAAAAAAAUAUAUACAAAAACAAACGUUACAAUAUAAAUAUAGAAAUAAAACUUUUAUUUUAUAUUGAGAAAAAGUAAAACAAAAACAAAACAACAUUUAAAUUAAAAUCAAAUUUCAAUAAAAAAAAGUAAAAUUUUUUAUAUAUGCAAAAUAAAGUUUUGUGGCAAGAGAGCAAAGCGCAAAAAAAGGUAAUAAAAUUAAAAUUAUAAUAAUCACGCAAAGAAAAAAAAAUUUGAAUAAAAAAAGUGAAAAUCAAAAAAAGCCAAAAUUAAAAUAAAAUUUAAACAAAUAAAAAAAAAGAAAUUUGCAUAAUUCUUUCUGAAAGAGAAGGUUUGGUGUUUUGCUGCGAAAAGAAGGUCUUUGCUGUGAAAUAAAUGGAGACAAAUUUAUAAAUAAAAGAAAAAAGGUAUGUUGUAUCGAUUUUUCUGAGAAUUCGUAGAAAAGCAUCAUAGUAAGUAGAACAAAUAUUUCAUUAAGGCUGUUCCAUGUUAUGCAUAAGUUACCUAAACUCUGGUCCAUAGACCAGACAAAGUACUAGACUAUACAAGUGGCAAUAGUCCAGACUAAAGAGUAGAACACAGUAGUAACUAUAGUCUAGAUAGCCCAAACUAUUAUCCAUACUUAAGGCUAAACUAAAGACUAGGCUAUAGACAAGACAGGACUAUGGACUAGAUUAAAAUUUAG